GGUAAAUCCUCCCCUGGGCUGGGGAGGCUCACAGCUCUCUCCUCACACAGGGCUGAGGUCUCUGGGGAAGGCAGAGCCCUGGUCUAGAAGAAGAUGAGACUGCUGGGUCUUCUCCUGUGCCUGGUGACAGCCCCCCAAGGUGUCCUGUCCCAGCUGCAGCUGCAGGAUUCAGGUCCAAAAUUGGUGAAGCCCUCACAGACCCUCUCCCUCACCUGCACUGUCUCUGGAUUCUCCAUCACCAGUGGUUCCUGCUGGGAUUGGAUCCGCCAGAAACCAGGGAAGGGGCUGGAGUGGAUCGGGUGGAUAUGUCAUAAUGGAAACACUUACUACAGCCCGUCCCUCAGCAGCCGCAUCUCUAUCUCUAGAGACACAGCCAAGAACCAUUUCUCCAUGCAGCUGAGCUCUGUGACCAACGAGGACACAGCCCUGUACUACUGUGCGAGAGACACACUGCUGACCCUGGACCAUGGACUCAGCACAUCCUGGGGUCUGUGUGAUUCAGCAAAACAGACCUAG